rnacentral:lncRNA from 1 species
GGUUAAUGAGAAGGAUGUGCUUGAAAGGAUGCACAUAACUCUGCACUGUUGGGUUGUAUUGGAGAGAGUCUGUCUUAAAUCAUUUUCCACACAGUCAGUGCCUGUACUUAGUUUUCAUGCUAGUGAGGGCCGAGAAUUCACUCUCACAUACUGUAGGUACGUGGUUGCAACGGGCAUCAGUGUCUUAACAGUGCGAUUUGCCAAGGCAGGAUACUCUUUGCGUAGCCCAAUCCAGAAAUCUGUCAGUGGCUUCUGAUUAAAUUCAAUUUUCACAGAACCACUUGUUGCAAUUUCGAUGAGGCUCUCUUGUUCAGAUAUUGGUAAGUGGACUGGAGGCAGGGCAUGAAAGGGAUAACGAAUCCAGUUGUUUGUGUCAUCCGUUAUGGGAAAGUACAUGCGUAAUUGCGCACCCAACUCACUCAGGUGCUUCGCUAUAUCACAUUUGACAUUGGUAAGCUUGAGUUCAUUUGCACACCAAAAAAUCAUACAAUGAUGGAAAGACCUGUGUGUUGUUGUCACGUUCUGACCUUAGUAUGAGGUCAUUUUUCCUUAGUGGUUUGGUCAGGGCGUGACAGGGGAGUGUUUUUGUCUAUGUAUUUUGGGUUUUCUAUGUGGGUUGUCUAGAUUGUCGUUCUAUGUUGUAUUUUCUAUGUUGGUGCCGGGUAUGGUUUCCAAUCAGAGGCAGGUGUUUUUCGUUGUCUCUGAUUGGAAGCCAUACUUAGGCACUUUGUUUUUCAUGGGGUUUUGGUGGGUGGUUGUUUUCCGUUAAGUCUAAGUGUACCUGACGGGACUGUGUUGGUCGUUUUGUUAUUUUGUCAAGUGUCUUCAUCAAAGUAUUGAAAAUGAGCACUAUCCACACUGCGUCUUGGUCUCCAUUUCACGACCCCUGUGACAGUUGUCCUUGAUAAUGCAGACAGAGAAGAGCUCCAACUUCUUAAUCAUAGCCUCAAUUUUGUCCCGUACAUUGAAUAUAGUUGUGGAGAAUCCCUGUAAUCUUAGAUUCAGAUCAUUCAGGUGAGAAAAAAACAUCACCCGGAAAGGCCAGUCGUGUGAGAAACUCGUCAUCAUGCAAGCGGUCAGACAAGUGAAAAUUAUGGUCAGUAAAAACUUUAAGCUCGUCUCUCAAUUAAAAAAAACGUG